rnacentral:snoRNA from 1 species
GGAACUGCUGUCCACUACAGACAGGUGCAAAAAUAAAUCCUCUUUUGCAACUGAGAACUCACUGUUCAGUAUGAGUUUUGAUACACACAAGAAAGAAUAUA